rnacentral:rRNA from 1 species
UACGUAGGGUGCGAGCGUUGUCCGGAAUUACUGGGCGUAAAGAGCUUGUAGGCGGUUUGUCGCGUCACUCGUGAAAACUAGCAGCUCAACUGUUAGCUUGCGGGCGAUACGGGCAGACUAGAGUACUUCAGGGGAGACUGGAAUUCCUGGUGUAGCGGUGAAAUGCGCAGAUAUCAGGAGGAACACCGGUGGCGAAGGCGGGUCUCUGGGAAGUAACUGACGCUGAGAAGCGAAAGCAUGGGUAGCGAACAGG